rnacentral:rRNA from 1 species
AGAGUUUGAUCCUGGCUCAGGACGAACGCUGGCGGUGCGCUUUAUGCAUGCAAGUCGAGCGAAGCUUUUCAGUAGUUUACUACAGAAAAUGACUGAGCGGCGAACGGGUGAGUAACGCGUGAGCAAUCUACCUUAGUUACAGGGAUAGCCCGAGGAAACUCGGAUUAAUACCUGAUAUUCUUUAUUCUCGCAUGAGAAUAAAAGGAAAGGUCAGCCGAACUAAGAUGAGCUCGCGUUCUAUCAGCUAGUUGGUGAGGUAAAAGCUCACCAAGGCUACGACGGAUAGCUGGUCUGAGAGGACGAUCAGCCACACUGGGACUGAGACACGGCCCAGACUCCUACGGGAGGCUGCAGCAGGGAAUAUUGUGCAAUGAACGAAAGUUUGACACAGCGACACCGCGUGUGGGAUGACGGAUCUAGGUUUGUAAACCACUUUCAGGAGGGAAGAAAAUGACGGUACCUCCAUAAGAAGCCCCGGCCAACUACGUGCCAGCAGCCGCGGUAAUACGUAGGGGGCGAGCGUUGUCCGGAUUUAUUGGGCGUAAAGAGCUCGUAGGCGGUUCAACAAGUCGGUCGUGAAAGUUCAGGGCUCAACCCUGAAAUGUCGAUCGAUACUGUUGUGACUAGGAUACGGUAGAGGUGAGUGGAAUUCCGAGUGUAGCGGUGAAAUGCGUAGAUAUUCGGAGGAACACCAAUUGCGAAGGCAGCUCACUGGGCCGCUAUCGACGCUGAGGAGCGAAAGCUAGGGGAGCAAACAGGAUUAGAUACCCUGGUAGUCCUAGCUGUAAACGAUGGAUACUAGACGUAGGAACUGGAUUGACGGUUUCUGUGUCGCAGCUAACGCGUUAAGUAUCCCGCCUGGGGAGUACGGUCGCAAGACUAAAACUCAAAGGAAUUGACGG